GAUGAACGCUGGCGGCGUGCCUAAUACAUGCAAGUCGAGCGAACAGAUAAGGGGCUUGCUCCUUUGACGUUAGCGGCGGACGGGUGAGUAACACGUGGGUAACCUAUCUAUAAGACUGGAAUAACUCCGGGAAACCGGGGCUAAUGCCGGAUAACAUGUUGAACCGCAUGGUUCUACAGUGAAAGGCGGCUUUGCUGUCACUUAUAGAUGGACCCGCGCCGUAUUAGCUAGUUGGUGAGGUAACGGCUCACCAAGGCAACGAUACGUAGCCGACCUGAGAGGGUGAUCGGCCACACUGGAACUGAGACACGGUCCAGACUCCUACGGGAGGCAGCAGUAGGGAAUCUUCCGCAAUGGGCGAAAGCCUGACGGAGCAACGCCGCGUGAGUGAUGAAGGUCUUCGGAUCGUAAAACUCUGUUAUUAGGGAAGAACAAAUGCGUAAGUAACUGUGCGCGUCUUGACGGUACCUAAUCAGAAAGCCACGGCUAACUACGUG
rnacentral:rRNA from 1 species